UCAGUGUGGCGUACUGGUUUGAGUGUUGGACCAGGACUCCAGGAAACCAGGGUUCAAAUCCCUGCUCAUGGA